UUCCUAUGGGCGUGUGAGUCCAAUUCCAAAUUCUUCGGCACAUGUUUUCCAAUCUUGUAUUCAUCUCUUUGGCGAAGCGUGUAACAUAUUUCAAGAGAACUGCUUAAAAGCCACGCUAGUGCAUACACAUUACAUUUAGACAAUACAUGGAGAAAAAUAAGCAAAUCUUCAGUUGUCUUUGAAUGAUAGUGUGUAGUGCCAACUAAUGUAAGCCUUUCUCAAGACUAUGGGUAACAAAAAAACUAAGAAAUCUCUAUAAGCUAUAGAUCAGCCCUAACAAGUAUAUCUGUCUUUGCUGGAAAACGAGUGAAGCCAAAAGGUGCUCACCAUACUGCUUGAAUAGACAAUUAGAUAAUACAGAUACAGCACCCUCCAGUGACUUUUUCGUUUAUAUGAGUUUAGUACAACAUACGUCUUUCCUCACCAGCCUCCAGAGUAAUGGCCUGUGUUCAAAGUUCAGGGUGAGAAUCUGCUAGCAUUAACGGAAUCGUAUACCAAGCUCGUAAGCUUGAAGCAACAGAAUCAUCUCAAAGACAAAAGAGAAAUCAUAUGUGAGAAGGACUGCCAUCUUUGAACUUCAUAACAACAUAUAUGCCUUUGUAUUACUCUAUCAAGCUAAUGAUAUCAUCUCAUAAAUGAAGCGCUCAAUAUCUGAUCAAAGAGUGAAUUUCGCUUCUUAUUCAGAAUACAUACAGUAGCAGCAAGAGUAGCAAUGUGGAUUUUACCGAGAAUGCCAAAGGAGGAAAGACUGUAACCUUCAGUUUCAAUCACCAAGGUGUUUUGAUACAGUCAAAGUUAAAUUAAUUUAGAAAAAAUAAGUCUAAUUUAAGAAACUUAAAGUAAUUAAACAAUGAUCAUCCUGACAUUGCAUGUUUAUCAACUAUAUUUGACCAAAUACCGUCUAAGUAAUAAAAUAAAUUUACCGGACAGUAGUAAGAUAAUAUUAUUAUCAUAGUGUUCUAAUUCCUCAAAAUAUUAUUAAGAAACUCUAUGUGAUUGCAUUUAGAUACAAUUCAUUGUCCAUCGUGUCAUUAAGUAGCUCCUUUGUCAUUCCAAUCUAAGGCUUAAAGUUGGAUUAUGACAACAUCACAUUCUAUUACCAAAAACAAUUUCAAAAAAUAGCAUAAUAGUAGUUUGAGUAUGACAUUAAUAUAAUUCUUUUUACUAUGAUUUCCCGGCCUACUUAGUAUUCUUUUAGUGGCAGAGUAAAAAUUGAAAAGACACAUGUUUUCAAGUGAACAAAUUGAAUCUAAAAUUCAUGUGCUGGUGAUAGUAUAUAAUGUUCAGAUGAGAGCAUUAAUAGAUAGUGUUACAGAACAUGCUAGAUAUAAACAUCGAGAGAAAAGGAAUCGUAAUUAUGAAAUAAAGCUAUGCUGCAGAUAUCUAUUUGAUCAACAAAUGCAGUCAUUAGAUUUUCCUAUUCGACUUAAUUUUGUCAAGUUUAUGCUUCUAUUUUCAGUGUAUCAACGAAAAACUCAACGUAAAAAGAAAUUACUAAUGCAAAUGAUGCUUUUGAGGGCUAUCAGAAAAAUAUUAUUCACAGCGUCCUAAAAGAUACAUUUACCUUCCACCAGGUCAUAUAUGCAUGCCCCAUUGUUUUUUAGUAGUAUAGAAGGAGAAGGUUUUUAUGUUGCCUAAGCCUUUUAAUUGUCAUGUAUAAUCAAGUUUGGAAUUUCUUCUUGCAAGAACAACUCACAAGUUAACUUAUAGAAACUAACAGGAUGGACCAUUAAAUCACAUGGAGAAAGACAAAAUAGUGAUAUUCUAUUUCACGACUAAAUAAUUAACAAGAAAUUAGCCAAAUUCACAUGUGUAAUAAGUGUUCCCAAACCAUGACUACUGCCUUAGUAAUAGUGAUAAAAUUUCAUUGGUUUCAUUUUGAAGAAUCCAUAGGUAGAUUUCCCCUUAGUUGACAAGGGGAGCUUGAUGUUACACAUUUGAGAAGAGAAAUAACUGCGUAUGUAGAGAGAGAAAAAAAGCAUGAACGGAAUAGUCUAAAACAGAAUAUGCCGCAAAGAAAAAUUAUAGGCGUAUAGUCUUUCUGGAAGAUGAUGAAAAGACUAAAAUACCCCUAGAUGAACAUAAACUCAACCGCACAAUCUUAGAACGCAAAAAAAAAAAAAAAAGUUCUCGAAAUUAGCGUGAAAGAACACAUUGGGCAUAAGAAAUACUCGAUAGAAAUUAUUUUCUGCAGAAAAUGUAACGUCAUUGUCUCAAAUUUAAUGAUACAAGCAAGAAACAAUAUCAUUGUUGUAUGCUGCUGGGUUAUUCUAGUGGUUUCUGAUAUGGUUUGAUUAACAGAUCAAAAAACAUGUAAUUCUUCAAUUUUCACCGAAAAACCUUACGAGGUUUUAAAAAAGAGCAUUUCUUACGGAGUUUUGCAAAAUUCUUUGUCAUAGCUAGCAUUGAAAAAUAGUUGUGGUAGAUAGAAGUUACUGGUUCCCGGGAACCCAUACCUGACACUUACCCCAGCACUUCCUACAAAUUGUAGUAGUACCUUGCCCUACUUCUCACUUUACAACAAUGCUUCUUGAGGUCGUUUUUGUUAAUUCUUUCGUUAUUGAUAAAUAUAUUGUUGUCUACCUUAUAAUUCAAAGGGUUGUCUCACCCACGAAAGUUGGAUAAUUGGAUCGCUCAAAUAUUUGAGUUCUUACAUAAGAUGAGAGAAGGAAUAAGAAAGAUUACAAUAUCAAUCUUUUAUACUCUACAUAUCAGUCAUAUACCGCAACUUUGACUAUACAUAUGAACAUAUUUACAUGAUGCCUUAUAAAUGCGUAAAAUGUAAGAAUUUCUCUUGAAGGGUGAUAUUUGUGGUUGUAGGAGGGUGGUCUCUAACGUAGUUGCUAACUUCAAAAAUCCUGAACUCCAUUUGAAAUUUGUGCAUUUGUGUGCAGGAUGUAAUCGAAUUAAGUUCUAUACUUCUCAAAGAACAACCCAGAAAUUUUGCUAACCUGUCUCACAAAAUAAAGAAUUUUUCCAAAUUUCAUUAUCUCGAUGUUAUAUUCAUGGACAAGAGGGGUUGCUCUAAUGGUAAGCAACCCCACUUCCAACCGAGAGGUUAUGAGCUCGAGUCUCCCCAAGAGCAAGGUGGGAGGUUCUUGGAGGGAAGGAUGCCGGGAUCUAUUUGGAAACAGCCUCUCAACCCCAGGGUAGGGGUAAGGUCUGCGUACAUACUAGCCUACCCAGACCCCACUAAGUCUCCAAAUCCCACUAAAUGAGAUUAUACUGGGUUGUUGUUGUUGUUAUAUUCAUUCUCACAGUUGGAGAACUCAUGAACCAUCAAUUUGCUUUAACUCUUCAACUAAAGCUAGUUGUAGUUUCCUAGGGUUUCACGAUUAUAGAUUAUGUCGUAAGCAGACAUGGGAAGAAAAAAUUGGGUACGACUUCAAAUAGAGGCGUAAAAAUAAAUUAGUUCACAUAAAACUCUUGGGUAGCAAUUAAAAGCUGUCGAGGCCGCUGCAAUCCAUUAAUGCAUACACAAAUCUAAAGGAGGAGAUAAAAAACGAAGCUCGGAGUACUUACUUGUCUGCCAGCGAGCAAAAAGAUAGCAGAAAAGCCAAGCCGGAAAGACAAACCCAAGCGGAACAAAGCAUCUUCCAAAUAUUAUUGGGCUGUCAAAAUACAUGAGUUGUAGACCUAGAAAAAUAGCUCACAGCUUCCAAACCAAAGAGACCAAGAGGCGCGUAUCGAUGAGGGAGAAAAAGAGCAUUAAGGAAAAGGU
rnacentral:lncRNA from 1 species